rnacentral:rRNA from 1 species
UACGGGGGGAGCAAGCGUUGUUCGGAUUUACUGGGCGUAAAGGGCGCGUAGGCGGCCACCGCAAGUCGACUGUGAAAUCUCCGGGCUUAACCCGGAAAGGUCAGCCGAUACUGCGGGGCUAGAGUGCAGAAGGGGCAACUGGAAUUCUCGGUGUAGCGGUGAAAUGCGUAGAUAUCGAGAGGAACACCUGCGGCGAAGGCGGGUUGCUGGGCUGACACUGACGCUGAGGCGCGAAAGCUAGGGGAGCGAACGGGG